rnacentral:ncRNA from 1 species
CAUACAGAACUCGUAUAUUUUCGAUUUAUGGCUUGAAAAGUUUCUACCUGCUAGCCAAAAUAGCAGACUAUGAGGUAUUAUUCUAU